rnacentral:lncRNA from 1 species
UCUUCGAGGGAUGAAGUGUAAACGAAGUAAAGAGCCCAUAUCAAGCCGAAUACACCAAACAAGAUCCACCCAAGAAGGUUGUUGCUCAACCCAAAGGGAAGUCCAGUUCCUUCGGUGGACAUUCUCUCAUCCACCAGAGCCAUAGCCGGUGAGCUUGACAUGACUGCUGCAGCUAACAGCGAUGCAGCACUCAUGCCAACGCUAGAGCUAUUCUUUUCCUCCUCCUUCAUAGAACACAUCACUUUCCCUUUCUUCGCCAUUGUUGGCAACCCUGAAAGAAGAACAGAAAAAUGACUAUUAAUAAUUAUGUUAUUAGUCCUUGUACUUUAUAAAAAGUUAUGGAUUUAAUCAUUGUGCUUUAAUUUGAUCAAUUUCGCUUGUGUAUUUUUUGGAAUUUUAGACUUAACUCAAACACUAGUAGUUAAAUUUAAUUACUUGCUCAAUAUUCUCCAACUGGAUCCUUCUAUAAAUCUUUAUAUUUUUCGAAUUUUGAAUUCUUGAUACAAAUAACGACCAAUAAUCUAUUAAUAAAUUUUUUUAAUGAAUAAUAUGUAAAAAUAACAAUCUGACAAUUUUUUCGUAAAGUACCUGAGUUUUAGCAGAAUUUAACCCAAAAACGAAAUCCCAAAAACUUACCAAUGGCAAUUGGGGAGGUGAGCUUGAGUGAUGAUGGCUUGUAUGAAAGAGAAGCUGCAAUGGUGAUUGAUGAGGUAGCUGAAAUGGUUGCCAUACUUUAUUAGUUCUUGAAUUGAGGAGAAAGAGAAACCAACUGCUAAAGCUUGAGGUUGCUGAUUUUGGCUGC